rnacentral:rRNA from 1 species
AGAGUUUGAUCCUGGCUCAGAUUGAACGCUGGCGGCAGGCCUAACACAUGCAAGUCGAGCGGUAGCACAGAGAGCUUGCUCUCGGGUGACGAGCGGCGGACGGGUGAGUAAUGUCUGGGAAACUGCCUGAUGGAGGGGGAUAACUACUGGAAACGGUAGCUAAUACCGCAUAACGUCGCAAGACCAAAGUGGGGGACCUUCGGGCCUCAUGCCAUCAGAUGUGCCCAGAUGGGAUUAGCUAGUAGGUGGGGUAACGGCUCACCUAGGCGACGAUCCCUAGCUGGUCUGAGAGGAUGACCAGCCACACUGGAACUGAGACACGGUCCAGACUCCUACGGGAGGCAGCAGUGGGGAAUAUUGCACAAUGGGCGCAAGCCUGAUGCAGCCAUGCCGCGUGUGUGAAGAAGGCCUUCGGGUUGUAAAGCACUUUCAGCGGGGAGGAAGGCGGUGAGGUUAAUAACCUCAUCGAUUGACGUUACCCGCAGAAGAAGCACCGGCUAACUCCGUGCCAGCAGCCGCGGUAAUACGGAGGGUGCAAGCGUUAAUCGGAAUUACUGGGCGUAAAGCGCACGCAGGCGGUCUGUCAAGUCGGAUGUGAAAUCCCCGGGCUCAACCUGGGAACUGCAUUCGAAACUGGCAGGCUAGAGUCUUGUAGAGGGGGGUAGAAUUCCAGGUGUAGCGGUGAAAUGCGUAGAGAUCUGGAGGAAUACCGGUGGCGAAGGCGGCCCCCUGGACAAAGACUGACGCUCAGGUGCGAAAGCGUGGGGAGCAAACAGGAUUAGAUACCCUGGUAGUCCACGCUGUAAACGAUGUCGAUUUGGAGGUUGUGCCCUUGAGGCGUGGCUUCCGGAGCUAACGCGUUAAAUCGACCGCCUGGGGAGUACGGCCGCAAGGUUAAAACUCAAAUGAAUUGACGGGGGCCCGCACAAGCGGUGGAGCAUGUGGUUUAAUUCGAUGCAACGCGAAGAACCUUACCUGGUCUUGACAUCCACAGAACUUACCAGAGAUGGUUUGGUGCCUUCGGGAACUGUGAGACAGGUGCUGCAUGGCUGUCGUCAGCUCGUGUUGUGAAAUGUUGGGUUAAGUCCCGCAACGAGCGCAACCCUUAUCCUUUGUUGCCAGCGGUUAGGCCGGGAACUCAAAGGAGACUGCCAGUGAUAAACUGGAGGAAGGUGGGGAUGACGUCAAGUCAUCAUGGCCCUUACGACCAGGGCUACACACGUGCUACAAUGGCAUAUACAAAGAGAAGCGACCUCGCGAGAGCAAGCGGACCUCAUAAAGUAUGUCGUAGUCCGGAUUGGAGUCUGCAACUCGACUCCAUGAAGUCGGAAUCGCUAGUAAUCGUAGAUCAGAAUGCUACGGUGAAUACGUUCCCGGGCCUUGUACACACCGCCCGUCACACCAUGGGAGUGGGUUGCAAAAGAAGUAGGUAGCUUAACCUUCGGGAGGGCGCUUACCACUUUGUGAUUCAUGACUGGGGUGAAGUCGUAACAAGGUACCCGGG